CUACGGGGCGCACCAGUGAGGAAUAUUGCGCAAUGGGGGAAACCCUGACGCAGCGACGCCGCGUGGAUGAUGAAGGCCUUCGGGUCGUAAAAUCCUGUCAGAAGGAAAGAAGUAUAUGGUAGCUAAUAUCUGCCAUAUUUGACGGUACCUUCAAAGGAAGCACCGGCUAACUCCGUGCCAGCAGCCGCGGUAAUACGGGAGGGUGCAAGCGUUGUUCGGAAUUACUGGGCGUAAAGCGCGCGUAGGCGGCUGUUUAAGUCAGAUGUGAAAGCCCAGGGCUUAACCAUGGACGUGCAUUUGAUACUGGGCAGGUUGAGUACUGGAGGGGGUGGUGGAAUUCCCGGUGUAGAGGUGAAAUUCGUAGAUAUCGGGAGGAAUACCGGUGGCGAAGGCGACCACCUGGCCAGAUACUGACGCUGAGGUGCGAAAGCGUGGGGAGCAAACAGGAUUAGAUACCCCUGUAGUC
rnacentral:rRNA from 1 species